CCCUCUAAUCUGGGCUUUGUGCCAUCACUUAAACUAUUUCAUUAAAUAGUACUGACAUGCAUAAAAUAUUUUACUCUCACGUUUGGUACAGUGGGUAGGCAUCAGGGAUACACCAAUGGAUUGGUUCAGAUCAUACCUGGAAAACCUUCUGUGAUAACCUCGUGACCAUGUACAGUCCUCUGCUCCUCUACUAUGUAGUGUGCCACAGCGCACAGUUUUAGGCCCACUUCUUUUUGCUCUAUAUCUGCUUCCACUUGGCUCCAUACUGAGGAAGCAUGGUGUGCUUCUGCUACUCUGAUGAUAGUCUUGAAGUUUAAAGGUCUGGAUGGCUCACAAUUUUUUAAAGUUCAAUGAGAGUAAGAUUUAGUUCAUGGUAUUUAAUGGCACAGCUCAGAGACUCCCUAUUGAGAUAGGUUAUCUAGCCCAGUUCAAGAAGUCAACCAUUACAAACCUUGGAAGCAUAUAUUAAAUUUGACAGCCAGAUUAUGGCAGGAGUCAAAUCAAGCCUUUAUCAUUUAAAGCAGUUGGCCAAUAUAGAGCCAAUUCUUCCUAGGAAACACUUUGAGACAGUAAUCCAUUCCUUCAUUAUUACUCAGCUGGAUUAUUUUAAUGGACCUUAUGUGGGGGUCAGUGGUUCUUCUAUCGGCUAUGUGCACAAUAUGGCGACCGCUAACUUCCGGUCAAAAGUCGUGGGGUCGGGAACUUCCGGGUAAACGUCCCUGCCAUUCAGGUUGGAUUGUAUUGAUAGCAACCAAUGGAAAGAAAUAGGUAUGUCAAUUGUCCAGAGGAAAAAACAAUGCUAUCAGCGUGUGAGUGGAUCGUCGCUACACUGUUGUGUACCUCAGAAAUGGGGUGCUAUUGCCAUUUUUUUGAGUGGAACAACUACUCGUUGCCUGAGAAAAGACCCGUUGUGUUUGACCAUAGGCCUCGGGAGGAAUCUACCGCUGCAGAUCCGCAAGUGGACCCUACAGAAUCGGAGAUGGUGUUUGUAGCACCGGAGUAAUGGCCAACGAGUUACAGAUUGAAAAUGCGGCUCUGCACAAGAGAAUUGAACAGCUACAGAGCCAAGUGGAAGGGCUGCAGCUGCGGAUCCGUUUUGGUUUGGAGCGCUUUGCAGGCUCAGACGACGAAAUCAGGUUCUAUACUAGUUCCAAUGUUUCUGGAAGCUUGUGGAGUCUGCUGUGAAGACCAAGAUGACUCGAGUCACCAAUACCAAGGCCUCCAUAGCUGGCUCUGACAGAUUUCACACAUACGCGGGAACCACUUCAGGUUCUUAGGAACCACCAUCUCUGAGGACCUGAGAUGGUCU